rnacentral:rRNA from 1 species
UACGAAGGGGGCUAGCGUUGCUCGGAAUUACUGGGCGUAAAGGGCGCGUAGGCGGGUCGUUUAGUUAGAGGUGAAAGCCCAGGGCUCAACCCUGGAAUUGCCUUUAAUACUGGCGACCUUGAGUAUGGCAGAGGUGUGUGGAACUCCGAGUGUAGAGGUGAAAUUCGUAGAUAUUCGGAAGAACACCAGUGGCGAAGGCGACACACUGGGCCAUUACUGACGCUGAGGCGCGAAAGCGUGGGGAGCAAACAGG